GCUGGGGUCGCCUAACCAGGUAUGGCGCCGGCCUUGAGAGCCGGUGGGCUUUACGCCCGUGUGGGUUCAAAUCCCACCCCCAGCG
rnacentral:tRNA from 1 species